rnacentral:lncRNA from 1 species
UCUGGUUCCAUCCAGGCCCAAGGACCACUGAACUGGAGCGGUCUUCUCCAUCCCCCAGCAAGCUUGUGCGUGAGCUGGGGACAAGGGGCAGAGGAGGCAGAGGUCCCCCUCACACCAGGAAGGGAACAGCGCCACUAAAGGGCCUGGUGGAGGCAGGGUGGAGGUGGAAGGAGACUCAGCAGAAGGGAUGAGGAAACUGAGGCUGAGAGGGUAGAGAACUUUGCCUGAGGUCACUCAGCAGGGACCCACCCAUCACAGUAAAUGCCAGCACUGCUGAUGCCAAAACAAUGUUAUUUGUAGGCCCUCGGAAUUUGUGACCUGAAGGAAGAAGAGCAGGGCCGUGGGAAGUAUGUAACCAGUGUCAUGCCCCUGGUCCCAAGGAAGCAGUGGCUUAGUAAAGAGGGGACCCCCGUCAAUAACUCCCUGUAAUUACUGGGCACCCACUCUGAGCUCCUCAGUGGAAUCCUAAGGUUAAUAAGACUGUCUCUAGCCACUGGGGCUCCCAGCCCGGAGUGAGGUAAGAGGAGUGGAGCCGGCUGGGGAGGGAGACGAACACAUACACAGAAGAUUCAGACACACCUGCAAUGUAUUGCUGGGGAUUCUCCAGCAUUGGCGUGAUGGAGAGGGUGGAGAAUCAUUUGACCGCCUCCCCCUAGGACUGCAGAGUUCAGCUGGCCAUCAUCCACCAGCCGGGGGACUGUGCACAUCAGUUAACCUCUCCUCUCAGGCCUUGAAAAGCACCAGGCUUAGUACACGUUUGUUAAAUGAAAGCACUUCAGUUUUUUUGCUUGUUAAAGGCAGGUAAUAAUAAUGAUAUUGCUGACUAAGGGCUCCCAUCCACUCCCAGUGAGCCCGGUGCCCCCUCGCCCUCCUCAGCAGUGCCUGCACGUCCCCUCGCCACAAUGUCAUGUGCCACCUCUUCAAAGGAGGGAUGUACCAGCUAGUGGACGUGACCUUGACUGCAAAGGGCGGCGCGCAGCUGAUGUAAUGGUCGCUUAAGUGUUCACAAAUGUAAGUCAUUACUAUUAUAAGUGGUGGGUGAUCAAGUGGCUAGGGGUGCC